UCGAUUUUCGUGCAAGUCAAACUUGUGUAUAUUUGAUCAAGAUUAUAGAAUAAAAUAUCGACAUCUACAAAACAAAAUAGAUAAACUUUUCGUGAUGGAUAUAAUAAUACAAAUUUGGUACUGUAGAUGUUGAUAUUUUUAUUCCAAAAACUUGGUCAAACAUGCACAUGUUUGACUUUGAAAAAACUACU
rnacentral:pre_miRNA from 1 species